CCUGAUGCCAUGGGAAGACCAACAGUAAGUUCUCUCACUCUUUUUAUCAUAUUGGAGCCAAUCGAUUAAGUGCUGCAGAGAAGCAGCGGCGCUGUCACACUCGACGUGAUGCCGACCCAGAAAGGAGAGACAGAUACUUGAAGAAGGAACAGCAGAAAUACAGGGAGGACAUAACAUCAGGCAGGAAGAAAACAGUCAAUAACAUUAGCAGAUGAAGGGCGUUAAAGGUGAAAUACAUCAGAGAAGCUCCGGAAACAAACUGAAGAGAUACAAAAGCAGCUACAGACACAAACCUGAAAAAAAGGAGAGGUAUAAGGAAAAUAUUCUGCGUAUGAAACAGAAUGAUCCAUCUCCAUGUACAAAAGUUGUCAAACAAAUGAGACCGCUACCAUGCGCUACAAUGCAAAAGACCCUUCUCUUCCAUGACACCUUAGUGGAGAACAUCCGACAGAGGCACAGCAACUCAUGGGGAUCAAGGGAAAGGCAACUCAUCUCAAAGAUAGUGACAGGAAAAAAAAAAUAUAUAGGCUGCAACGUCUCUCCCAAAGUUAAUUUGGGUUGUCAAAGAAAAGGUGGCUGAUGAAUGCGAAGAAUGCAGAACUUAACUUAAACUACAAAAGGGAGAGAAACAGUAGGGUGGUAGAUGGCUUCAAAAACAAAGUCAAAGAUUUUUACACCAUGGAUGAUGUCAAUUGAUUAACGACUGGGAAGAGGCAGACGCCUCACCCAGAAGAAAAUCAAAAAUCAGAAGAGGUUCCUUUUGGACACAAUGAAAAAUCUACAUGUGAAGAUUUUGGCAGAACAUGAUGGGUCGAUCUCAUACUCCCUCUUCUGCUCACUGAGCCCCUUUUGGGUUGUUCACCCAACUCUAAGUGACCAGGAGACUUGAUGGGUCGAUCUCAUACUCCCUCUUCUGCUCACUGAGCCCCUUUUGGGUUGUUCACCCAACUCUAAGUGACCAGGAGACUUGAUGGGUCGUUCUCAUACUCCCUCUUCUGCUCACUGAGCCCCUUUUGGGUUGUUCACCCAACUCUAAGUGACCAGGAGACUUGAUGGGUCGAUCUCAUACUCCCUCUUCUGCUCACUGAGCCCCUUUUGGGUUGUU